UAACAUAAAACCCUAAAACUCAUACGCUCUCUUUUGUCUUCCUUCUCUUUCUAUACUGCCGCCGAAAACUCCAUACGUCUUUCCUUUCUUUCUUUGCUGCCGAAGCUUUUCAAUGGGUAAGAAGAGAUCCAACAAAUGCAUGCAUAAAAAAUACAUGGGUGUUGCUGCUAAUCAAAUAAACGAUCUCAUCUUUCACAGCAAAAACAUUACAGUAUCAACAGGUUUCUCAACGUUGAGAGGGGAGCAACGGUGACAUGUGGAGAAACUUUCUUUCUUCAAAAUAAAUCUUAAGAAUAUGUUCCCCUAAAUAACUUUGUGGAGAUUAUUUUCAAUU